AUUUCGCCAAGCUUUGCCAAAUCGUCAGGCAGCAACGAAAAGCGAACGUUACCGGCCGCAUCAGUCGACAUCAAAUGAUGAAACUGUGCUCAUCUCGCAGCAACUCCACUCUGUUGAAUGUUGUGAUCGAUCAACGACUUAGAAUUGACACCUGUCGAUAUCUAAUGGAAAUUCAAUCGCGUCGUCUAGCGGGAGAAUAGGACAAAAUUCUAAACAAGAAAGGUUGAAUUUUUUGCUACACAAAAAUUAAAAAUUUUUUUUAUUAAAAGUAAUCAAACCGAAAACGCCAAGAACAAAGGCGGCCAUUGUGAAACGCCGGAAGUGUGCAGCAAACGCAAGCGGGCAUUGGCCUGAAAGUAAAAGAGGCAUUCAGCGAAAUUAUACCUAGUGCACAGAGAAGCAACAAGAGAAAUCAAAAAAGAAAAUAAAAAGUGAAUAUAACUGUAUUUUUUGUCCAUUCAAGUGUUUGCUGAAAUUACAAAUUUAAAUUUGCAAUUUGCGUUUGUCAAUUGACGUCAGCGUUCACCUCGCCGAAAAUUGAAUAAAAAAUUUAAAAGCUUUGCAUACAAAUAAUACAGAGCACAAAGCAAUUGUGUAGAAUAAUAAAAAAUAAAAUAAAAUAGCGUUAAACAAGUAAAAGUUGAAGCAAAAGCAAACGAAAAAAUAUAUAAUUUUAAAUUUCGAUACAAAUCGGUUAUUUGUGGCACACGGGCAUCCGGUGGAAAUUGCAAAAUAAUAAAAAAAAAGUUUGCAAAAAAACAAAUAACAGAAACAUAAAAUAAGAAAAAUAAUAAUAAUCUAACAAAAAAAAAAUAUAUUUAUAUACGUAUAUAAACACAUAUGUACAAAAUUGCGUAAAUUGCACCAAAUAAUUUGAAAACGAAAGUGUCAUUGAACAUUUUUUUAACCCACCGAAGCUGGUUAGACCUGUUCCUACAUCUAUGGAGUUUCAUCUAGACAGUGCAGAAUACUGCCAAGCACAGCACAAA